AUGAAAUUAAAAUUAUUAAAUAUAAUUUUAUCAAUAAUAAAUAAACUUAAUAAUAAUAAUAAUAUUAUUAUUAAUAAUCUAUUAGAUUCAUUAAUAAAUAAGAAAUUAUUAUUAAAGAAUAUAUUAUUAGAUAUAAAUAAUAAAAAAAUAAAUAAUAUAAAAAGAAUAUUAAAUAAUAAUAAUAUAAAUAUUAAUAAUAAAUUACAACAUUUAAAUAAUAUAAAUAAUUGAAAUCUACAAAUUUAUAAUUAUAAUAAAAAUAUAGAAAUUAUAAAUACUAUAAAUGAUAAAUUAAUUAAUAAAUUAUUAUAUAAAAUAAUAACUUUAAAAUUAAAUAAUAUAAAUAUUAAUAAAAUUAUUAUAAGUAAACUUAUUAAUCAACAUAGUUUAAAUAAAUUAAAUAUUAAAUUUUAUUAUUAUAAUAAUGAUAUUAAUAAUAAUAAUAAUAAUAAUAAUAAUAAUUAUUAUAUAAAUAUAAUAAAUAAAUUAAUAAAUAUUAUAAAUAAUAAUAUAAAUAAUAAUUUAUGUAAUAUUUUAAGUUAUUAUUAUAAUAAAAAAGUAACUAUUGAACCUAUUAAAUUAUCAUAUAUUUAUUUAAAUAGUGAUAUUUUUAGUAAAUAUAUUAGUUUAAAUGAUAUAGAUAAAUAUAAUAAUGGUAUCUUAACUAAUUAUCAACGUAUAUUAAAUAAUAUUAUGCCUAAAUUAAAUGAUCAUAAUAUUUCUAUAAAUUAUAUUAAUAAUAUUAAUAAUAUUAAUAAUAAUAAAUAUAAUAAUAUAAUUAAUUUAUUAAAUAAUAAUAAUAAUAAUAAUAAUAAUAUUAAUAAUAAUUAUAAUAAUAAUAAUAAUAAUAAUAAUUAUAUUGGUAAUAUUAAUAAUAUUUAUAAUAAUAUAACUAUUGAUAAUAUUCCUAUAGAUAUUUUAAUAUAUAAAUAUUUAGUUGGUUGAUCUAUUAAAUUUAAAGGUAGAUUAAGUAAUAAUAAUGGUAGAACUAGUACACUUAAUUUAUUAAAUGGUACUUUUAAUAAUAAAAAAUAUUUAUGAAGUAAUAUUAAUAAUAAUUAUAAAUUAAAUUAUAUCCCUUCUAAUCAUAAUUUAUAUAAUAAUUCUAAUAUUAAUAAAAAUGGUAAAUAUAAUAUUAAAGUUAAAUUAAACUUUAUUUAA
rnacentral:rRNA from 1 species